GUUGGUUUUCUUUGUUUUUAUGAUGUUUUUUCGUGUUUUUCGCUUAAUGAGGCACCUAUUUAUGUUGGAAAACACAUGUUAAAUUUAGCCAAGGCCUUUACGGUAAAAAUGACACCUUGUAUGGACCAAUGGCAUGCUCAGUUUUGUCUCUAGGGUGAAAAGAUCCGGGGUUGAUGAAGAUGAACUUGAAGAUGCUAGGUGGUUUAGACGUCCAGAACUUGUUCAAAUGUUAACUAGACAGCAUCCUGAAGGACUUUUUGUUCCACCAGAACAAGCUAUAGCACAUCAAAUUAUCAAAUCUUGGGUUAGAAAGACUACUAAUUCUAAUUUAUAAAUUGGAGAAAAAAUUUCAGGGAUUUAAUAUAUUGCAACUUUAUUUAUAUAGUUUUCCAUGAAAAUUUAGUAUGUAAAUGAUUUUCUUUAUUUACAUGUAAGCAGAAAUGAACUUUCAUUGAAAUUUUUUUUUUGUAUUUUGAUUUUUUAAAUGUAAAACUUGCCUCUUUUUUUUAAUAAAUGAAUAUCGUAAUCAGUAUAUUGAAUUGGUUAAUUUAGUCAAAAAGGGAGUACAAAGUAUGGAGGAUUGUGAUAAGCACUCAAAUAUGUUGAUGCUUACAAGUCAUAUUGUUAUUUAGUUCAGACUUGAAAAAAAAUAAAAAAUAUUUGUUAUCCACUACCCGUAUUUUGCCUAGUUCAGCAUAUUAUUUUAGUACAAAGUAUGUCUUAAAUUUAUUUAACAAUAUGUUUUACUUGAAAAAUUACUUACCUAAGUUUAAAUAUCAAUCUAUUUAUAUGUGUGAUUAAAUUAACGGGUAGAAAAGAAAAAAAUUGGACAAAAAAAAUUCUAAAAAAACAUGGAAGACCCAUUUCUACCCAAAAUUAGAAUUUUGCUAAUAACUUUGUAUUCUUAAACUUUAAAAAAUUAAUUGAGAAUUGAAAAAUAAUGCAUUUAUCUCUUUUAUUUUUUGAAGUAUUACUGAAUUAGGUCUAUUAAAAUAGAUGGACAGUUUUAUAGAAAGCACAUAAAAUUGACAAAGCAUAUUUUUAUUAAAAUAUCAAGUCUCAAACUAUGAAUGCAAAGAUUUGUUUUUUUAAAUUGAUUGUUGUUGAUUCGUGAAUUUUUUAAUUUUUCAUAUGAAAUAAUAGUUAGGUCAU